UACGUAGGUGGCAAGCGUUGUCCGGAAUUAUUGGGCGUAAAGCGCGCGCAGGCGGUCCUUUAAGUCUGAUGUGAAAGCCCACGGCUCAACCGUGGAGGGUCAUUGGAAACUGAGGGAACUUUGAAGUACAGAAGAGAAAGAGCGGAAUUCCACGUGUAGCGGUGAAAAUGCGUAGAGAUGUGGAAGGAACACCAGUGGCGAAGGCGGCUCUUUGGUCUGUAACUGACGCUUGAGGCGCGAAAAGCGUGGGGAGUCAAACAGGAAUUAGAUUACCCG
rnacentral:rRNA from 1 species